UUCGCCAGGGAACAACGAGCCCCAGCUUAAAACCCAAAGGACUUGGCGGUGCUUUAGACCCCCCUAGAGGAGCCUGUUCUAGAACCGAUACUCCCCGUUCAACCUCACCCUUUCUUGUUAUUUCCGCCUAUAUACCGCCGUCGUCAGCUUACCCUGUGAAGGCCAAAUAGUAAGCAAAAUUGGCAAAGCCUAAAACGUCAGGUCGAGGUGUAGCGAACGAAAGGGGAAGAAAUGGGCUACAUUUACUGGAUCAGUAAACACGGAUUAUGCACUGAAAUAAGCAUUUAAAGGAGGAUUUAGCAGUAAGCGGGGAAUAGAGAGCCCCCCUGAAAACGGCCCUGAAGCGCGCACACACCGCCCGUCACUCUCCCCAAAAUUUAAAACCUAAGUAAAUAAAUCAACAACAAUCACAAGGGGAGGCAAGUCGUAACAUGGUAAGUGUACCGGAAGGUGCACUUGGAAAAACC
rnacentral:rRNA from 1 species